UACGGAGGAUGCAAGCGUUAUCCGGAAUUAUUGGGCGUAAAGCGUCCGCAGGUGGCACUUCAAGUCUGUCGUCAAAGACCGGGGCUUAACCCUGGAAAGGCGAUGGAAACUGAAAGGCUAGAGAGAUGUAGGGGUAGAGGGAAUUCCCAGUGUAGCGGUGAAAUGCGUAGAGAUUGGGAAGAACAUCGGUGGCGAAGGCGGCUACCUGGACCGGUACUGACGCUGAGGCGCGAAAGCUAGGGUAGCAAACAGG
rnacentral:rRNA from 1 species